AAGGUCACGGCAAGACAAGCCGUUUAUCAUUGAAAUAGGUGUCCAGUAUAAGUGCAGUGAUGUAUGCAGCUGAAGCAUCCUAACAGACCGGU
rnacentral:rRNA from 1 species